rnacentral:rRNA from 1 species
GCGGCGGCGCAGCCGUUGGAGUUGGACCCCAACCUGGUUGGGCAGCGGUUGGAGUUGGACCUCAACCUGGUUAGGCAGCGGUUGAUCGAGCGGCUAGCGAAAGAGCAGGCGGCCGUCGACAACAGGCGACGGGAACAGCAGUACAACUCGCUGCGCGCGGAAGAGGCGAUGUACAAGAAGGAACAGGAGAAACUAUCACAAGCAAAGGUUGUGGUAAAGGUGAAACCCAAGCAGGACAAACUAGGUAUAAACUGGAGUUGGAUCAAGAACAAGAUUUUUCAUAGAGAAGGAAGGGAAAUAUGUUCGGAACAUGUGAACCACCAGACACAUCCCAUCACUGAAGUCAGAAGGCAUCAUAGGCUUGCUUCUGACGAGGCGAACCAUCUUAAUGCCUAUUCAGAAUAUAGACCGGUGAUUGGAGAUGGGGAGUGUUUCUACAGGAGCUUCAUAUUUUCGUACCUUGAGCAAGUUAUUGAUAGGCAGGACACACAUGAGGAACAUCGUCUCCUUCGUGUUGUUGAAAGAAUGUCCAUGCAACAUGCAAAUCUUGGAUGGAACUCUGACUUUCGCAGGAGCAGCAAAGCAUUUAAGAAUCUGAUCAAGAAAAUAAUGAGACUGAAACAUGGCAGAGAAUCAACUAGCAGCCGCCGUAAAGAGAAACUUCUCAAGUUCUUCAGCAAGGAUGAUACGACACUAGACAUUUUCAUUUUCCUCAGAUUAGUAGUAGCUAUCCAGAUGUGCUCGCACAGGGAGGUGUAUGAACCGCUUAUACCAGGGCUCAGAGGAAAUUACAAUCUGGAACAUUGGUGCUUUUGGCGUGUCACUCCAGCUCGUCGGUUCACGGAUCAUGUUAUGAUGGUGGCCUUGGCCAGAGCGCUUGAGGUCCCCCUCAGAGUGGAGCGAGUCCGAGGAGGAUAUGAUCCAGAUAUCUACACUGGUCCUGGAGUUCCCCAUCCGAGAGUGACCCUGCUGUACUCGGCAAAUCACUAUGAAAUCAUCUACCCACGUGCUCCUUCUGCUGAGAGUUCAAGUCAUCAGGCUUCCCAGAUAGAACAUGCUACUGAUCAGGGUUCAAUGUACUACUUUGCAAUGUACUACCUAUGUUUCUUUAAACUGCCAAAAUGUCAU